UACGAAGGGGGCUAGCGUUGCUCGGAAUCACUGGGCGUAAAGCGCACGUAGGCGGCUUUUUAAGUCAGGGGUGAAAUCCUGGAGCUCAACUCCAGAACUGCCUUUGAUACUGAGAAGCUUGAGUCCGGGAGAGGUGAGUGGAACUGCGAGUGUAGAGGUGAAAUUCGUAGAUAUUAGGAAGAACACCGGUGGCGAAGGCGGCCCACUGGAGCGGUACUGACGCUGAGGUGCGAAAGCGUGGGGAGCAAACAGG
rnacentral:rRNA from 1 species